GGGCCCGCACAAGCGGAGGAACAUGUGGUUUAAUUCGAUGAUACGCGAGGAACCUUACCUGGGCUUAAAUGUAUGUUGCAUGGAGUGGAAACAUUCCUUUCCUUCGGGACUACGUACAAGGUGCUGCAUGGUUGUCGUCAGCUCGUGCCGUGAGGUGUCGGGUUAAGUCCCAUAACGAGCGCAACCCCUGUUGUCAGUUGCCAGCAUGUAAUGGUGGGGACUCUGACAAGACUGCCGGUGUAAACCGUGAGGAAGGUGGGGAUGACGUCAAAUCAGCACGGCCCUUAUGUCCAGGGCCACACACGUGUUACAAUGGUCGGUACAACGGGCAGCCACCUGGCGACAGGGCGCUAAUCCCGAAAGCCGAUCGUAGUUCGGAUCGGAGUCUGCAACUCGACUCCGUGAAGCUGGAUUCGCUAGUAAUCGCGCAUCAGCCAUGGCGCGGUGAAUACGUUCCCGGGCCUU
rnacentral:rRNA from 1 species